rnacentral:rRNA from 1 species
CAGUCGCCGCGGUAAUACAGAGGGUGCAAGCGUUAAUCGGAAUUACUGGGCGUAAAGCGCGCGUAGGUGGUUUGUUAAGUUGGAUGUGAAAGCCCCGGGCUCAACCUGGGAACUGCAUCCAAAACUGGCAAGCUAGAGUACGGUAGAGGGUGGUGGAAUUUCCUGUGUAGCGGUGAAAUGCGUAGAUAUAGGAAGGAACACCAGUGGCGAAGGCGACCACCUGGACUGAUACUGACACUGAGGUGCGAAAGCGUGGGGAGCAAACAGGAUUAGAUACCCGCUAGUCCCUGUCUCUUAUACA